UCUCUCCGACCAUGAGAGAGAGAGGACAAUUUAGUCGGAAACCCUGCCUCUGCAUUCUCUCGCCUCUGCCUCGCCUUCUCUCUCCCAAGAAAAACCCAACCCCCCUCCUCCCUUCCUCUCUCACCGGUCUCCUCUCGCCCCAUGAAACCCUUGAUCUCUCUCCUAUCUAUAAUGGCGAUGAUGGUGAGAAUAUGAUGAUGUGAUCUAGUCUGUUAGUCUGCAUUUUCAUGGCAUCCAAACCCCGACAACAACCACCAGAUGCCUUUGAUCUCAUUCUAGCUGAUGCUUGGAACUUUGUUGUUUCAUUUGAGAGCUAACAACAUCUACUACAACAAUGCUAAAGAGAAGCUCUUCAAAAAUCAAUUUGUUUUUGGCACCUCCAACGCCAACGGUUAUGAAGUGAAGCACAUUUUGAGAACUGCAACAACAUCUACAACAACAAUGCUAAAGAGAAGCUCUUGAAAAAUCAAAUUGUUUUUGGCACCUCCAACUCCAAUGGUUGCGAAGUGAAGCACAGGUAUGGGCAUGACGAUCUUUCCACUCAAAAUUACUUUGGAAGGCUUUUCUUUCGAUUGAUAGAUAACAUAAAAAUGGUAUUUGUAUGCUGGAAUUGUUUGAAUCAUGAAUGCUUUUUUCCGUUUGGUUCUUUUGAUGGGUUAAAUAUGAUUAUAGAUUUGCAUUGUGCAAUGAUUAGCAUGAAUUGUUGGUGUUGAUUUCUUCUGGGGCCAAUAUUUCACACACGUGGGCCCAUCUAACAGUUAUUUUGAUUGUUGGAUGGGAUUCCUAUGAAAC